AGCGGCCCACAAUUAAAGGUUGGGCCCGAAGUAUCUGGAAAAGUUCUUCUUGAGGCCUUCGUGGAAACUGUAGAAGAGGGUGACGAAUUUCUACGAUUGGGCCUGUGGAAGAGGAUGCUCCCUUCUUCUUUGAAGCAGGUACGACGAUUUUCUUUCCUCUUGAAGACGCCAUUAUGUACCUGUAAGUGGAAACAUCAAUUCGUCUUUUGAUGAGUGGACAAUUUAUAAUAUAUAAAAGGAAUGCGACUAAAUUCAAAAAGGAAAUUUCAUAACUAUAUUCAGCCACAAUUACUAAAUUCAAUUAAAACAAUAAGUUCAAUGACCCAUUUCUUUGUGGCAUGAGCAUGGUAGUAUAAGUAAAAAUGGCAAGGAAUGUAAUACAAAAUACUAUAUGAAUGAAAAGAGAUGUCAACAAAAUAUGCAUGAUUAUUUCAACAAUCUUAGCCAUGAAUAUUCACUUCUAAUUGAAUGAAGUGUAGGAAUCAUGUAAUGAGUAAGAUUUUAAACAUGCGAAAGAUGAUAACUUGUUUGAUAAAUGAAAUUUAUGUGAUUAUCAAUUUGGAAAUAACAUGAAAAAUAUAGAUUAAUAUGAUAAAUAGCAUUAUAAAUCAAUGAAAUAAAAGAAAAAGGAGUUAACAAACGCUAAGGGG
rnacentral:lncRNA from 1 species